rnacentral:rRNA from 1 species
GCACCACAACGGGUGGAGCCUGCGGUUUAAUCGGACUCAACGCCGGGAAACUCACCGGACAAGACAGCUGAAUGAUUGCCGGGCUGAAGACUCUGCAUGACUAGCUGAGAGGAGGUGCAUGGCCGUCGUCAGUUCGUACUGUGAAGCAUCCUGUUAAGUCAGGCAACGAGCAAGACCCACGCCAACAGUUGCCAGCUCGUCCUCCGGGAUGGAGGGGACACUGUUGGGACCGCCUCUGCUAAAGAGGAGGAAGGAAUGGGCAACGGUAGGUCAGCAUGCCCCGAAUUGUCCGGGCUACACGCGGGCUACAAUGGGUGGGACAAUGGGUAUCGACACCGAAAGGUGAAGGCAAUCUCCUAAACCCAUCCUCAGUUGGGAUCGAGGGCUGCAACCCGCCCUCGUGAACAUGGAAUCCCUAGUAACCGCGUGUCAUCAUCGCGCGGUGAAUACGUCCCUGCUCCUUGCACACACCGCCCGUCGCUCCAUCCGAGUUUGGCUUUGGCGAGGCGUGGCCAUGUUGGUCAUGUCGAACCUAGGUUAGGCAAGGAGGGAG